ACCUGACCACAUUUUAUUUUAAUAUUCAUUCUUCCAUUGCCUCGCUCUUGUCUUUCAGUGGAUGGUUUGAGUGAGAGUUGCUGUCGGAGGGGUGAAGUUUUGGAGGAAGAAGAAGAAGAAGAAGAAAAUGCCAACUGCUUGUUGGAAUUUGCUGUCGCAAACUGCUUUAGGGGCCUUAAUGCCCUCUUCACUCAGUAAAGACGCAUCAAAGGUGUCAACAAGUAGCAGGUGUGGCAUCUCAAAAUGCCAAACUAGGCUCAUUAUUGGAUCUUUCCGAGCUGCAGGGUUCCCUUCACCAAAGAGCUGUGUUAAACACGAAAGGGUGCAACCUACUUCAGCUAUCUCAGAUAUUUUGACAAAUGACAACUCAACCAUGUCAACAGCUGAUGUAGAAACUGAGAAUAUUGGCCUCUUUGGCAUGGAUUCAGCAUUGGAGUCAUAUAAGGAUCACUUUAGAUACAGAAUAAUGAGAUAUGUUGAGCAGAAAAAGCUCAUUGAAACUUAUGAAGGGAGCCUCGAGGAAUUUGCGCAAGGGUAUCUAAAAUUUGGAUUUAAUAGAGAGAAAGGUUAUAUACUUUACCAAGAAUGGGCCCCUGCUGCACAGGAAGCAGAAGUAAUUGGUGAUUUCAAUGGAUGGGAUGGUUCGAACCACAGGAUGGAAAAGAAUCAAUUUGGUGUAUGGAGUAUCAAGAUUCCUGAUUGCAAUGGGAACCCAGCCAUUCCACACAAAUCGAGAGUCAAGUUCAGAUUCAAGCAUGGCAAUGGAGAUUGGAUUGAUCGAAUUCCAGCCUGGAUAAAGUAUGCUACUGUAGACCCGGGAAAAUUUGCUGCACCUUAUGAUGGUGUUUACUGGGAUCCGCCACCGUCAGAAAGGUAUCAAUUUAAAUACCCUCGUCCUCCAAAUCCCAAAUCUACACGAAUAUAUGAAGCACAUGUUGGAAUGAGCAGCUCGGAGCCGCGUAUAAAUUCAUAUCAAGAAUUUGCAGAUGAUGUUUUGCCUCGAAUUCAGGCAAAUGGCUAUAAUACAGUACAGCUAAUGGCCGUAAUGGAGCAUUCAUACUAUGCAUCAUUUGGCUAUCAUGUUACCAAUUUCUUUGCUGCUAGUAGUAGAUCUGGAACACCGGAGGACCUAAAGUAUCUGAUAGAUAAAGCACACAGCUUAGGUUUGCGGGUAUUAAUGGAUGUUGUUCAUAGUCAUACAAGUAACAAUAUCACUGAUGGUCUUAAUGGGUUUGAUGUUGGGCAAAGCUCACAAGAUUCAUACUUCCAUACUGGAGAGCGUGGGUAUCAUAAGUUGUGGGAUAGCAGACUAUUUAACUAUGCCAACUGGGAAGUUCUUCGUUUCCUUCUGUCAAAUCUUAGGUGGUGGAUAGAGGAGUUCAAUUUUGAUGGAUUUCGAUUUGAUGGAGUAACAUCAAUGUUAUAUCACCAUCACGGGAUUAACACGACAUUCACAGGGAACUAUAAUGAGUACUUCAGUGAGGCCACAGAUGUUGAUGCUGUCGUAUAUAUGAUGUUGGCAAACCAUUUGAUUCACAAAAUUCUGCCUGAUGCUACUGUAGUAGCUGAAGAUGUUUCUGGAAUGCCGGGACUUUGUCGGCCUGUCUCUGACGGAGGAAUUGGUUUUGACUACCGCUUAGCAAUGGCAAUCCCUGACAAAUGGAUUGAUUACUUAAAGAACAAAAAAGACGAAGAUUGGUCAAUGAAGGAAAUAACUUGCAGUUUAACUAACAGGAGAUACACUGAAAAGUGCAUAGCAUAUGCAGAGAGCCAUGACCAGGCAAUUGUUGGUGACAAGACAGUUGCCUUUUUCCUUAUGGACAAGGAAAUGUAUUCCAACAUGUCCUGUUUGACUGAAGCUCCUCCAGAAGUUGAGCGAGGAAUUGCCCUUCACAAGAUGAUUCAUUUUAUAACUAUGGCACUAGGAGGAGAAGGCUACCUUAAUUUCAUGGGAAACGAGUUUGGCCAUCCCGAAUGGAUUGACUUUCCAAGAGAAGGCAAUGGUUGGAGUUAUGAGAAAUGCAGACGCCAGUGGGACCUUGUGGAUACAGAUCACUUGAGAUACAAGUUCAUGAAUGCUUUUGACAAAGCUAUGAAUUUGCUUGAUGAGGAGUUCUCUUUCCUUGCUUCAUCCAAACAAAUAGUGAGCAGCAUAAAUGAAGAAGACAAGGUGGGGUAGAUUUUUAUCUCUCUUUCAUUGGAUCAACUGUUCAUUUAGAUGAUUGUCUGGUCCAGGUCAUUGUAUUCGAACGUGGAGAUCUGGUAUUUGUCUUUAACUUCCAUCCAGAGAAUAUGUACGAUGGGUAGGGAUGCCUUUCACUAUCCUAUUCAUUGCUUCUCUUGUGGUGUGGCUGUAGAAUUAAUGAAAUCUGAGUGAGUUGAACCAAAGCUAAUUUUUAUACAUAUUUUGAAACUGCUCAAGUUCGUGCUGUGGUUAUCCAGGUACAAAGUCGGGUGUGACUUGCCUGGAAAAUACAGAGUUGCUCUGGAUAGUGAUGCUUGGGAAUUUGGUGGGCACGGAAGGGUGGGGCAUGAUGUGGACCACUUUACAACCCCUGAAGGCGUACCUGGAGUCCCUGAAACAAAUUUCAAUAAUCGCCCAAACUCCUUCAAAGUACUCUCCCCACCUCGGACAGCCUUGGUUUAUUAUAUGGUUGAAGAAACAUUAGAAGAGAACAAUCACAAUAAGUCAACCACCUUCAGUGAGGCCGGUACAGCAACUCUGGUGGAGGAUGAGGAGAAUAUCAAAAAACUCGCUUCUGCUGACAAGUCAGGCAGUUUCAGUGAGAGCAGUACGACUGGUAGGUUGGAGAAUGAAGAGCGAGAAUUUGCCUCUUCUGAAAACAGAGGAGUUGUUUCCAGUGAGGCGGAAGGUCCGAACUAAAAGCAAUCAAAGAUGAGCUUGCUGAUGAUUGAUGGCCUGGUUCGUAACCAGAUUACAUCUGUCAAUCAGACUCAGCAUAUAUCAGACUCAGCAUAUGUAGAAUUGUACAUACAUCUAGACAUGGUGACGAACAUAAUAAACUUCGGAUCCCAACAACGUGUAAAUUUCUCUGGGGAUAUUAAGGUGUGUGUAUCUAUUUUCCAGAUUACAUCAAUAUACAAGCUAAACUUUUUAGUGAAGAUCUCAGGGGAUUUCCUUGCAGUUUGUUAAAUUCUGACUAAAAUUUGGCUUUUA